rnacentral:rRNA from 1 species
UGACCGAUAGUGAACCAGUACCGUGAGGGAAAGGCGAAAAGAACCCCGGCGAGGGGAGUGAAAAAGAACCUGAAACCGUGUACGUACAAGCAGUGGGAGCCUCUUUUAUGGGGUGACUGCGUACCUUUUGUAUAAUGGGUCAGCGACUUAUAUUCUGUAGCAAGGUUAACCGAAUAGGGGAGCCGAAGGGAAACCGAGUCUUAACUGGGCGUUAAGUUGCAGGGUAUAGACCCGAAACCCGGUGAUCUAGCCAUGGGCAGGUUGAAGGUUGGGUAACACUAACUGGAGGACCGAACCGACUAAUGUUGAAAAAUUAGCGGAUGACUUGUGGCUGGGGGUGAAAGGCCAAUCAAACCGGGAGAUAGCUGGUUCUCCCCGAAAGCUAUUUAGGUAGCGCCUCGUGAAUUCAUCUCCGGGGUAGAGCACUGUUUCGGCAAGGGGGUCAUCCCGACUUACCAACCCGAUGCAAACUGCGAAUACCGGAGAAUGUUAUCACGGGAGACACACGGCGGGUGCUAACGUCCGUCGUGAAGAGGGAAACAACCCAGACCGCCAGCUAAGGUCCCAAAGUCAUGGUUAAGUGGGAAACGAUGUGGGAAGGCCCAGACAGCCAGGAUGUUGGCUUAGAAGCAGCCAUCAUUUAAAGAAAGCGUAAUAGCUCACUGGUCGAGUCGGCCUGCGCGGAAGAUGUAACGGGGCUAAACCAUGCACCGAAGCUGCGGCAGCGACACUGUGUGUUGUUGGGUAGGGGAGCGUUCUGUAAGCCUGUGAAGGUGUGCUGUGAGGUAUGCUGGAGGUAUCAGAAGUGCGAAUGCUGACAUAAGUAACGAUAAAGCGGGUGAAAAGCCCGCUCGCCGGAAGACCAAGGGUUCCUGUCCAACGUUAAUCGGGGCAGGGUGAGUCGACCCCUAAGGCGAGGCCGAAAGGCGUAGUCGAUGGGAAACAGGUUAAUAUUCCUGUACUUGGUGUUACUGCGAAGGGGGGACGGAGAAGGCUAUGUUGGCCGGGCGACGGUUGUCCCGGUUUAAGCGUGUAGGCUGGUUUUCCAGGCAAAUCCGGAAAAUCAAGGCUGAGGCGUGAUGACGAGGCACUACGGUGCUGAAGCAACAAAUGCCCUGCUUCCAGGAAAAGCCUCUAAGCAUCAGGUAACAUCAAAUCGUACCCCAAACCGACACAGGUGGUCAGGUAGAGAAUACCAAGGCGCUUGAGAGAACUCGGGUGAAGGAACUAGGCAAAAUGGUGCCGUAACUUCGGGAGAAGGCACGCUGAUAUGUAGGUGAAGUCCCUCGCGGAUGGAGCUGAAAUCAGUCGAAGAUACCAGCUGGCUGCAACUGUUUAUUAAAAACACAGCACUGUGCAAACACGAAAGUGGACGUAUACGGUGUGACGCCUGCCCGGUGCCGGAAGGUUAAUUGAUGGGGUUAGCGCAAGCGAAGCUCUUGAUCGAAGCCCCGGUAAACGGCGGCCGUAACUAUAACGGUCCUAAGGUAGCGAAAUUCCUUGUCGGGUAAGUUCCGACCUGCACGAAUGGCGUAAUGAUGGCCAGGCUGUCUCCACCCGAGACUCAGUGAAAUUGAACUCGCUGUGAAGAUGCAGUGUACCCGCGGCAAGACGGAAAGACCCCGUGAACCUUUACUAUAGCUUGACACUGAACAUUGAGCCUUGAUGUGUAGGAUAGGUGGGAGGCUUAGAAGUGUGGACGCCAGUCUGCAUGGAGCCGACCUUGAAAUACCACCCUUUAAUGUUUGAUGUUCUAACGUGGACCCGUGAUCCGGGUUGCGGACAGUGUCUGGUGGGUAGUUUGACUGGGGCGGUCUCCUCCUAAAGAGUAACGGAGGAGCACGAAGGUUGGCUAAUCCUGGUCGGACAUCAGGAGGUUAGUGCAAUGGCAUAAGCCAGCUUGACUGCGAGCGUGACGGCGCGAGCAGGUGCGAAAGCAGGUCAUAGUGAUCCGGUGGUUCUGAAUGGAAGGGCCAUCGCUCAACGGAUAAAAGGUACUCCGGGGAUAACAGGCUGAUACCGCCCAAGAGUUCAUAUCGACGGCGGUGUUUGGCACCUCGAUGUCGGCUCAUCACAUCCUGGGGCUGAAGUAGGUCCCAAGGGUAUGGCUGUUCGCCAUUUAAAGUGGUACGCGAGCUGGGUUUAGAACGUCGUGAGACAGUUCGGUCCCUAUCUGCCGUGGGCGCUGGAGAACUGAGGGGGGCUGCUCCUAGUACGAGAGGACCGGAGUGGACGCAUCACUGGUGUUCGGGUUGUCAUGCCAAUGGCACUGCCCGGUAGCUAAAUGCGGAAGAGAUAAGUGCUGAAAGCAUCUAAGCACGAAACUUGCCCCGAGAUGAGUUCUCCCUGAGACUAUAAGUCUCCUGAAGGAACGUUGAAGACGACGACGUUGAUAGGCCGGGUGUGUAAGCGCAGCGAUGCGUUGAGCUAACCGGUACUAAUGAACCGUGAGGCUUAACCUU